CGGGCGCGUGCGGCCGCCGGGGUGCCUCCGUUCGCUCCGGGGCCGAAGUUCGCAAACCCUGCGUCCCCCGCCCGGACAGCAUCCCUUUCCCAGUCAAGACGAGAGAACUCGCACCCAGGGAGGGCACUGGAAGCUGACGCAGCGGCUGAGGCCGAGCCGGGUCAACACCGAGGAACCUGGCCGAGGAGGCGCAGUUGUGGCUGCCCUGCCGUGACCUCUGGAGGGACUGGGCGAGACCUCCUUACAUAUGGCCCUUCACAGAGGACUUGUGUGACUGAGCCGGAAAGGAGUGGGCUAUGUGAGCACCUCAGAUGAUACUCCAUUUAAUAAUAUUGAAGAUAGAAGAAAACAUGCAACAUUUCCAGCAUGUUAUGCUUCAUUUACCUUUCAAGAAAGGUAAAAACACAACUGAAAUGUGGAAAUAAAACCAGAUGUGUGCAGUGCGUGGGGAAGGUGCCGGGACUGACCGGACGUGUCAGAAGCGGUUUGCGAGGUUUGGAGCUGCAGAUUCCUCGCGGGACGGUGCCCCACGGUCGGGGAGACCAGUUGACGUCGAUAGCGAUCAAAUUGAGACAUGAACUGAGAACAAUCACCGUUAUACCAUGUGGGAGAUGGCCGACACACUCAGACUGUCCAAGUCA